ensembl:lncRNA
GUUCUUUAAAGGUUAUUUUGGCCGCAGCCACAUUCAUUUUUGCUGGGAUUCAGAGGUACUUCCUUUUCUGAAUACUAGGAUUUGUGAUGGCAGUCUGAUAGCAGACUGUUAUGACCUUUGAAAAAUCUCAUUUUGAUGUUUGAUGUGAGUUUUAUUUAUAGCCAUUACUUAUAUUGUGUUAGCACCUUGAGCAUUCCUGUUGGAGUUGGAGUGUGCUCAGUGCUACACCAGUCUCAGCUAGAUGCAGCAAUUUAGUGCCAUUUGCUCACAAAGUUAGCAGCUCAAGAAACGGUGGCCAACAUUUAGCGUGCCCAGAAGCUAAGAAGCAAUGAGUUCUGAUUGUCUGAAUUGUCAGAACAUUAACUGGUCUAGCAGUAUGCACCUAACUUUUCCCAUGUGCCCUAACUUCUCAACAUAGAUAGACUUUGGCCUGACCUGGCUUUGCAUCUGAAAAAAAAAAAAAAAAUCAAGGGAACUCUGAGGAGAUCUACUUUGUGCUAUGAUAGGGAUAUACAUUUCACUCACUUUAACAGCUGGCACUUAGUCAUGGCAUCUGGGCUAUCUCUAUUUACAAAGGAAAGGAGAGGCUUCUCUGGAGAUUGACUUAGCCAUGCAUAUGAUAUGAGAAGGAAUUGCACUCUUGAGAUGGUCACCUCACCCCAGUAGUGGAAGAAGUAGUCUGUUGAAUGACCAAAGUUAGCCACUCCAUCCUCUGUGUCUCAACACUUCUGAGAAAGUAGUCCCUGCUCUUUCACUCUUGGCCUGUCUUGCCAGAAGAGUUCUUUCAAGUGACGACUGUCUCACAGUCUGUAUUGCUGCAAUGCCUAGAACACUGGUCUUGCUGGAACCUCUAAACUUUGCUGUAAUAUAAAUAAUUUAUUUACUGAAAAACAGUUUUUUAUAUAUUUCAGAAAUUUGUCUAAUUUGACGUAAAAUGACAAAAACCUGGAUAAUCCCUUGACCUGCAUUAAAUAGGGAAAAAAAAAUAAGAUCUUUUUGGAUAUGUUUGAGGAAAAUAUAGAUAAAAGCCAUAUAUGUAGGUCAUAUGUAUAUAUGUAAUGAAAUAAUAGUGUAAAAUGGAUCACGUUUUGAGGGCUAGAACUUCAAGAAACAGAUUUUUACUCUGUAAAGUAUUUGUGCUCAUAAUUUAAAAACUGUACAGCAUAAUAGGCAUAAUUCUUUAAUAGGAAUGACUUGAAAUGAUUUUUGACUCUGAUUGAUUUAGGUAAAAUUACAGUAAAGAUUAGUUUGAUCUCAAAAUAUCCAUUCACUUUUGCUGGGAAUUCUUCAACUUAAAUAUAGAGUCUCUUUUGAAUUGUUUCCUUCAGACCUAAAUUUACUCAAACUUUAUUCUAUAUGAUAAGUGGCAUUCUCAUAAUGGAGUUAUCUACUAUUUUGCAGUAGAGCUUCCAAAAAUGGUUUUAGUCCAAAUCCUGUGUACUGAUAUAUCUCAGUUAAGGUUUUUGCUAAAUCAAACUGUCCUGAUGUCCUUAAAGCAGGAUGAAUGUUAGAACUAAAAAUGUCCUACUGAUCUGAAUAUCUCAGUCUUUGCACUGAUUAAUCUCACAGUUAUUUUUGUAAAAAUAUUAAUUUUU